rnacentral:rRNA from 1 species
CACCGCGGUUAUACGAGAGACCCGAGUUGACAGACACCGGCGUAAAGGGUGGUUAUGGGUCAGACCCCAACUAAAGUCAAACGGCCCCUUAAACUGUUAUACGCAUUUCGAAGCCGGAGGCCCCACCACGAAGGUGACUUUAAGACUCCUCCCGAACCCACGACAGCUACGGAA